GGUAAACAUAGAUAGGACAGUUUCUGUUCCUUGUGUCCUAGAUAGGAGGGAUGAGGCAGGUGAUAUCAAGCACUUAAUAACUUAAACCUAAUGGGAAAGAAGGAAGAAUUCCAUAAUUUUCUUCCAGGGGAACUCAGUAUACAGAAACUGACUUGAGACUCAGUGAGGAAAUAGAGUUGUUGUAACCAGAAUUAACCAUUUUUCUUCUCUGUCCAGGAGUUACUUAUAUUCAUGAGCAAACAAGGAGUCAUGUGGAAGAAUUCUACAUUGAUAGAUUGACUGGGAAACAUAUCUAUGCUCCAACAAAUUUUGAGGAAUUUCAGGAAAUGAUGAUAAGGGAGCAAGAAGCUCUUCUCAAAGGGUCCAGAGAGCUCCGGGUCACACUGCUCCAUGUAAUCCAAAAUAUACUAGGAAACAGGAAGGCUCUACACGACCUGGAGGACAUGCUGGAUCAGGUGCCAGACAUGAGAGAGAAGGGGCAAUUGGAAGGCCCUGGGGUCUGCAUCCUAAAACACCUACAAGACAACUCAGGAGAUGCAUCCAACCAACAGACAGAGAGCAUCCUCUACUUCCUCGGCGCACUAAUGAGUAAGGAGUGGAUAGGAAAGAAAGAAGAAACUAACAGUUUAAAGGAAUCUCCUGUUACCCACU
rnacentral:lncRNA from 1 species